rnacentral:piRNA from 1 species
AAGUCUCCAAGGAUGAGAAAUAGC